GAUGAACGCUGACAGAAUGCUUAACACAUGCAAGUCAACUUGAACUUCGGUUUGGGUGGCGGACGGGUGAGUAACGCGUAAAGAACUUGCCUCACAGAUAGGGACAACAUUUGGAAACGAAUGCUAAUACCUGAUAUUAUGAUUAUAUGGCAUCGUAUAAUUAUGAAAGCUAUAUGCGCUGUGAGAGAGCUUUGCGUCCCAUUAGCUAGUUGGAGAGGUAACGGCUCACCAAGGCGAUGAUGGGUAGCCGGCCUGAGAGGGCGAUCGGCCACAAGGGGACUGAGACACGGCCCUUACUCCUACGGGAGGCAGCAGUGGGGAAUAUUGGACAAUGGACCAAGAGUCUGAUCCAGCAAUUCUGUGUGCACGAUGAAGUUUUUCGGAAUGUAAAGUGCUUUCAGUUGGGAAGAAAAAAAUGACGGUACCAACAGAAGAAGUGACGGCUAAAUACGUG
rnacentral:rRNA from 1 species